rnacentral:rRNA from 1 species
GCACAAGCGGUGGAGCAUGUGGUUUAAUUCGACGCAACGCGAAGAACCUUACCUGGGCUCGAAAUGUAGUGGAAUCCGGCAGAAACGUCGGCGUCUAGCAAUAGACCGCUAUAUAGGUGCUGCAUGGCUGUCGUCAGCUCGUGUCGUGAGAUGUUGGGUUAAGUCCCGCAACGAGCGCAACCCUUAUCUUCAGUUGCUACCAUUUAGUUGAGCACUCUGACGAAACCGCCUCGGAUAACGGGGAGGAAGGCGGGGAUGACGUCAAGUCCUCAUGGCCCUUAUGGGUUGGGCUACACACGUGCUACAAUGGCGGUGACAGAGGGAUGCGACGGGGCGACCCUGAGCAAAUCUCCAAAAGCCGUCUCAGUUCGGAUUGUUCUCUGCAACUCGAGAGCAUGAAGCUGGAAUCGCUAGUAAUCGCGGAUCAGCACGCCGCGGUGAAUACGUUCCCGGGC